rnacentral:rRNA from 1 species
CCUACGGGAGGCAGCAGUGGGGAAUUUUGGACAAUGGGCGCAAGCCUGAUCCAGCAAUGCCGCGUGAGUGAAGAAGGCCUUCGGGUUGUAAAGCUCUUUUGUCAGGGAAGAAACGGUGGGGGCUAAUAUCUCCCACUAAUGACGGUACCUGAAGAAUAAGCACCGGCUAACUACGUGCCAGCAGCCGCGGUAAUACGUAGGGUGCAAGCGUUAAUCGGAAUUACUGGGCGUAAAGCGUGCGCAGGCGGUUUUGUAAGUUUGUCGUGAAAUCCCCGGGCUCAACCUGGGAAUGGCGAUGAAGACUGCAAGGCUAGAAUCUGGCAGAGGGGGGUAGAAUUCCACGUGUAGCAGUGAAAUGCGUAGAGAUGUGGAGGAACACCGAUGGCGAAGGCAGCCCCCUGGGUCAAGAUUGACGCUCAUGCACGAAAGCGUGGGGAGCAAACAGGAUUAGAUACCCUGGUAGUCCACGCCCUAAACGAUGUCUACUAGUUGUACGGGUUUUAAUUAACUUGGUAACGCAGCUAACGCGUAGAAGUAGACCGCGUGGGGAGUACGGUCGCAAGAUUAAAACUUAAUGAAUUGACGGCGUGAGACGNGCGACGACGACGACGAGGGAGGUUAGG